GACCCUCUCAACGAAAUCGUGCCGGAACCGCGGACGGGAAAGACCGUGUGACCCUUUCAGCGAGCCCC
rnacentral:rRNA from 1 species